UACGAUGAGGGUGCGAGCGUUUAAUCGGAAUUACUGGGCGUAAAGUGUGCGCAGGCGGCGUUGCAAGUCGAGUGUGAAAUCCCCGAGCUUAACUUGGGAAUUGCGCUCGAAACUACGAUGCUCGGGUGUGGCAGAGGAAGGUGGAAUUCCAACGUGUAGCGGUGAAAUGCGUAGAGAUGUGGAGGAACACCGAUUGGCGAAGG
rnacentral:rRNA from 1 species